GCGCAGGCGCUCUUUGGUGUUUACAGCGGCCGCGAAGCCCCGCGUUUGCGCGUGCGCUUCCCGCCCGGGACCGCCCAGAGGUCCCGGACUAGGGGCGGACUAGGGGCCGCUCUGCCUCCCGCCCCCUAGUGGUUGUGGCCGCUCUGUCACCACGGCUCCCGGGGCCUCUGUCGGCUCCACUUUGGUUGAGACGUCUCCACAGCCCAACAACGGCGGCGAUCUGAGGAGAGGCAGGAGAAAAUACGGCGCGCUCGGCAUCGUCCUUCUGACCGGGGACUCCAGCAUCUCAGUCAUCGCGUCACCAAGCCCCAGGGAAUAUGGAAAGACUACAUUUCUCAACCUUCCUAGUAGAUGUGAUGUCACCAGUCGGAAUUGGGCAGAAGAAUGUAUCACUUCAGUCCAAGGCAAUUAAGUGGUCAAACCGUAAGAGACUGGCAGCUUUCAUACUGUUGGAUGCAUGUUUUGGGAUGCCUCCCUCUCGGAAUCUAGCCACCAUGUUCUGAGAAACCUAAGCCAUGUGAAGGGGCCACAUGUAGGUGCUUUGGUUUGCAGCUCCGACCCUCUAGCCAAUAGAUGGCAUCUCCUGCCAGCCAAAUGAGUGAGCCAUCAACAGUAACCCGCCCAGCUGAGUCUUCAGCAACAGCAAUUUAUUUAUGGAUUACCUACUCAGUUGGUGCCAAGCCUGGUUCUAGAUGCUGAAGACAGAGCCUAGAUCAAGAUUGACUUGGUCCUGGCUUUCCUGAAGUUCCCAGCCUGGUAGAAGAGACAUAAUAAACAACUAGCAAACACAG